rnacentral:tRNA from 1 species
GGGCCUGUAGCUCAACGGUUAGUGCAGGGGACUCAUCAUCCCUUGGUUGCGAGUUCGAAUCUCGCCGGGCCCACCA